UUGUCUCAAAGAUUAAGCCAUGCAUGUCUAAGUAUAAACAACUUUAUACUGUAAAACUGCGAACGGCUCAUUACAUCAGCAAUAAUUUAUUUGAUGAUUUCUUACUACAUGGAUAACUGUAGUAAUUCUAGAGCUAAUACAUGCGCAAAGUCCUGACUCGCGAGGGGAGGGAUGUAUUUAUUAGAUACAAAACCAAUGCGGGCUCUGCUCGCCAUUGUGUUGAAUCAUAGUAACUUAUCGGACGCCAUAGCCUUGUGCUGGGCGUAGAUCAUUCAAAUUUCUGCCCUAUCAGCUCUCGACGGUAGUGUAGUGGACUACCGUGGCGUUAACGGGUAACGGGGAAUA
rnacentral:rRNA from 1 species